rnacentral:lncRNA from 1 species
GCGCGCGCACACCUCCCGCUCUCACGCCCUUGCCCGGCCGGGCACUUGUCUUCGCGCUCGGGCCGGGCGCCGGCUCCGGCUGCUGCGGCCGCCUCUGGCCGGUCCUGAGAGGACACAGCAGCUACAGCAGCCCGCGGCUGGGACUGAAGACCCCUGGACAGCAGCUCAGUGACAGAA